rnacentral:rRNA from 1 species
CGCGUAGGCGGUCUGUUAAGUGUGAAGUGAAAUCCCUCGGCUCAACCGAGGACGUGCUUUGCAUACUGGUGGACUUGAGUCCGAGAGGGGGGUGGUGGAAUUCCUGGUGUAGGGGUGAAAUCCGUAGAGAUCAGGAGGAACACCGUUGGCGAAGGCGGCCACCUGGAUCGGUACUGACGCUGAGGCGCGAAAGCGGUGGGGAGCAAACA